GCGUCGGUGGUGCAACAGUUUAAGCACAUGCUUCCGGUAAGAGUAAGAUCUGGGUUCAAAUCCUGGCUGAACGCA